AGCAGCAGCCGCGGGAAUACGGAGGGUGCAAGCGUUGUCCGGAUUUAUUGGGUUUAAAGGGUGCGUAGGCGGCUAUUUAAGUCAGCGGUGAAAGACUCCGGCUCAACCGGAGCAGUGCCAUUGAUACUGGAUAGCUUGAGUGUUGGAGGGGUACAUGGAAUUGAUGGUGUAGCGGUGAAAUGCAUAGAUACCAUCAGGAACACCGAUAGCGAAGGCAUUGUACUGGCCAACAACUGACGCUGAGGCACGAAAGCAUGGGGAGCGAACAGGAUUAGAUACCCGAGUAGUCCCUGUCUCUUAUAC
rnacentral:rRNA from 1 species